AGAGUUUGAUCAUGGCUCAGAGUGAACGCUGGCGGCGUGGAUUAGGCAUGCAAGUCGAGCGAUUCUCGCAAGGGAAUAGCGGCAAACGGGUGAGGAACACGUAAGUAAUCUGCCCCUAAAUCAGAAAUAGCUUCGUGAAAGCGAAGGUAAUGUCUGAUGACACCAUGAACCGGCAUCGGUUUAUGUUUAAAGACAGGGACCGCAAGGCCUGUCGUUUAGGGAUGAGCUUGCGUAGCAUCAGCUAGUUGGUGGGGUAAUGGCCCACCAAGGCUUAGACGCUUAGCUGGUCUGAGAGGAUGGUCAGCCACACUGGGACUGAGACACUGCCCAGACUCCUACGGGAGGCUGCAGUCGAGAAUCUUUAGCAAUGGACGAAAGUCUGACUAUGCGACGCCGCGUGCAGGAUGAAGGUUUUCGGAUCGUAAACUGCUUUUGUCAGGGAAGAAACUUCUGAACUUAAUAGGUUCAGAACUGACGGUACCUAAGAAUAGC
rnacentral:rRNA from 1 species